UAUAAUACCGCUCGAUUGCGACAUGUGGUUGUACGCGAUUUUUUCUACGAAUUUCUAAAAAAAUUCACAUUCUAUACAAAUUAACGCCAUAAUAUAAUUGUAAUGGCCUGGCUGCAGUUGUAUCUGUCUAUGUUAAAAAAUACAUCGACUAUCGACUGUAGUGGGCUAUUUUAAAUAGUUAUUUAAUAAAAAAAAAGUCACUUCUAAUCAAAAUAUUGAUAUUUUUUUUUUGUGCUAACUAAUCAAAUGCAUAGUUCAUAUUUCUUUCAUAAACAUUGAUGUUCACCGUAAAUAAAAACAUAUUAUAUGGAGUACAUUAUGUUAUAACAAUGAAUAAUGUACAAGUCUCCAUGUCAAUAUUCUGUUUUGUCGAAAUUAUCUUCUCAUUUUAUUUUAUUUUUUAAAUUUUGAUAUUUAUUUAAAAACAUUAAUUAAAUAAACGUAAUACAAGUAUUCAAAUUUUUAAAACGGAUAAAUUAUACAACUUUUAUUAUAGCUAUUUCUCAAUUAUAAUCAUAAUGUUUAUAUUAAUUUUUUUUUAUUUAUUAUUCCUCUAUAAAUUACUUUAAUAAUUAUUCUAUUGAGUUGACCGAAAGGUUUUGAGUCUAGAAUAAUUUUACAUUUUAUUUUAACAUUUUUUACUAAAAUUAAAAAACAAACAUAUAUUUAUUUUGUAAAUAACUUUAUAUUAAUGUACAAAUAAAUAUAUGUUAAUUAAUUGUAUAUUAAAUACAUUUAAUAUAUUGGAAAACUUAAUUAAUUGAAUAUUCGACGAAACAAAAUUUAGUCAAAACAUUAAAACACCGAAAUCAUUUUUAAUGCACACAACAUAAACAUAAACAACAUUUGCAGUCUUAUAGAUAAUUGUGUAAUAGACACAAAUGAAUUCAACAAAUUCAGAUUCAAAAUAAAAAUGUGGGAAUAUCGAGUCCAUCUAGGAAACUUAUUCAAACGUUCAUCCGUCUAGAUUCUAUAGAUUCUUGAUGGUAUGGAGAAAGGAUGAAAAAGAAGAAAUCGCAUCUACCGAGCAAUGGUAGACAUAACCGCAUAACCAAAAUACAGAGUAGAGACAAAAUCUCGGUGGGAUGCACAAAGUUCAAAUCAAUGAAGAUAAUUUUAUAUAACUUAUUGGGACCAGAAGGCAUCGUAAAAAUGUCGACAACAUUGAAUAACAAUAUCUCCGAAACCGAUAUCUGUCAUAUUUAGUGCUGGACCAAUCAAUCAAGGAUAUAUGAUACGCAAUGGAUAAUUUUACAUUUUAGGGUCAUAAACAAAAAAAAACCAAUCAUUUUAAUAACGUGAAAUAAAUGACAAUUAUGAAUACUUGUUAAGUUUUGUAAAAGAACAAAACGUGUACAACGUUGGAAUUUUCUUAGAAUAAUUGGACACGAACGCGAACAAAAAUAAAAAAAAAUAUACAAACACAAUAUAAUGUUCGAUACGGUUCGAUUUAUUGUAUUAUAUAAAUAAUCAAAGGCAGGAUGCUGUUAACUUAAAAACAUAACAACGUUGACUGUUUUCAGACAAUUUGGUCGAAGAGUCAUUUUUGCCACAAAAUAAAAACAUCAAAGAAAGGCGUGAUAUUUCAGAGAUCCCGAAAGCCGAUUUGAUUUCGAAUAAUAUCGUUUAAUAUUUAAAAAAAACCUCUAUUAUUGCUUUUUAAAACACGUUUUGUGCCGAGUGUCGAAGAGCAUGAUGAUGAAUACGAAUUAUAUGUAUAUACUUAUUUAUUAAAAUGUCCAUAAUCACCGAAAAUUAUAGCUGUAACCGUCAUUAUGAUGGUAUUGUUAAUUUAUUAUAGUAUUAAUGUAGACAGAACGAUAAAUAAUUUUGUAUUUUAACAUUAAGAAAAAAUAUUUAGGUUAAUAUUUAGGUAAUAUUUAGGUUUCUAUGUUUGUUUGCUUCAAAGUUCCACACUUCCACUUCGUUCUACUGCACCAUUAUAUGUAGUACUGCUUGCCACCACCAACUAAAUUUGACUAACGAAUCUUUAAGAUGUGUUUAAUUUCGAUUGGCUAUGCAAAUUAAAUGAAAAAUUAAUAUUUUUAAUAUUAUUAUUUAAUUAAUUAAAUCCCGCCUUUAUAACGAUUUGUUAUUCAUCUAAUUAUAAAUAAUUUCUAGAUUAUAAGCUAUUAUUAUUGUAUAUUAUCUCCUAUCAUAAAUGUUUUAUGUUCUAAAAGGUCAACCCGUAUAAUUGAAAUUAAAAUAAAUGUACGACUCAGUACGACAUAAUAUAUUAUCGUAAAAUAAGCAGUCUUCUCAAAGAUAAUUUUUUAAUGUAUCUGUACUACAGAUACAGAUACUUUAAAAAGGUAGUAAUAAUAAAUUGAUACAUUCAAUUUUUUUUCCCAUUUAUAAAUCUACAAAACUGAAUUUUUUUUUUUAACACGUUCCAAUUGUCUUACAUUAUUAUCAUUGUAUAACAUUUUGUACCGUAUCAUUUGGUGUAGGUAAUUAUAAAUUCUUCAUCAAAGUAUUCAAAUCUUCGAUUAGAUAAAAAGCACACAGAAAAAAUAGGUUUAAUAUUGUCAAAUGCGCACAUAAAAGUAUAUUAAUAUUUUAAAUUAAAUUAUUGAUAAUUUUUAAUUAACUUAAAUUGAACAAUACACAAAUAAAAAAUACAAUACUUCGAAUGAGUUUGUAAUAUUUUAUAUUUUUAUAUAUUCUAGCUAGAUAUUGAUUUUUUAGUUUAUUUUUGUUUUUUAUUUUACAAUUAAAUAAAAAAUAUGAAAUAAUCUAAAAAUAAAGAGUACCUAUUUAAAUAUUAAUACUUAAAUUUUCAAUACAGAUAGUUUGAGAAAAAAUUUAAAAUUCGUAUUUUAUCAUUUAAAAGUACCUAAUUAAAUACUUAAAUACUUUUACUCAUCUACAUUAGACACAUUAGUGAAAAUAUACAAUACUACUAAGUACUAGGUACUUCUACUACAUUACUGACUUCUGAUUUAUAUUAUUAUUAUGAAAGUCGUUUAAUAUUUGAACAAAAUAAAGUUUUACGAUUAUUUUAUACAACAAUAUUAUUAUGUACCAACGCGCGUCGUCCCGCUUUAUUUAUAUACCAUAGUUAUAUUUGUAAUCUACGUGCGUAAAUCACACAAUGUGAUAAUACAUUAAGUGGUGUAAUCAUGACAAUUAAUAGCGUUUUAAUCGUAAUUUUUCAAUAACGCCAAUGGUUCAAUCAAAUAGCGUUUUUUACCCUAAACAUGAUAACAACGGUUUAUUGUCGGCGAAAAAGAAUGAACUUCGUUCAACCGAAUUUUAUAGUGUUAUAUACUUAUUGUAUAGUGUAAUUCAGUCACGUUUUUUAACGUCUCUACGUUUUCGUUUUUACGUAUCUGUACUCAUGAUUUUAUCAAUGUUACUUUAAAAAUAUCAUUAUUGAUGUUAGUAUAAAUACUUGUUAUAAGCCUACAAAAAUCGUUUCUUGUAUAAUUUUAAAUUUUAAACAAAGCGGGGAUAUACGCAGGUGUGCAUAUUUCUUUUACAAUGAUGUGAAAUGUAAUUUUUUUUCAACUAUAAAAACUGUCAUGUUCAAGAUCAAACUUUAAAUAAGCUGUUUUGUUCUUGAUAAUUUUCUCGGAGCGUAAAAAUAAAGAGCACAUUUAAUGUAAAAACACUAUCUGUGGAGAAAUAUCAGUUGUUAAACAUAAUUUGAUGUCUAAUUUAACUUAUUCGUUUAAUUAUUUAUUUAUAUAGAACUCAAAGUAUAUCAUUUUGGUUACAGUUUUACGAUAUUUGAUUGAUUAAGUAAUAUUAUUUCAAAGGCGCUUGCUCACAUUGUUUUAAAAUAAAUUAAUAGAUAAUAAAAAUAAAUAAAUUUAGAUGUCAAGUUAAAAAAAAAUCAAGUUAGUACAAGUCCUACUCUGAGUCAAUAAAAUAAAAUCACCAAAGUUGUAUGCGAUGACUAAUAUUUUAAUAAUAGUAAUAAUAAUUGCCAAUAAUUCAAAUUUUAAUAAAAAUAAAUAUUUAAUCAUAACUAAAUAUGCACUUAAUUCAAGAAAUAUACACUAAAAAUACGAUAAGUAAUUUAAAUAUGUAUGCACUUAAAAGUGGAAAAUUCCUUAAACAUACAAAAAAAACAUUCUGUUAAACUUUUCUGAUAUUUCAUUAAUUAUAAAAUUAACUAUACGUGAAAUAAACUUACACAAGAUAUAAGCAAGAAAAAAAUAUCCAUAUUUAAUUAAGUAGGUAGGUACGUAUCUAAAUUGUUACAAACUGUGUAAUAGCAAAAUAUAGUAAUUUUGCGAGUCCGUUAAAUUUUAGGCAUCAUUUUAUUUUAGACAUAUUGUUUUAUAGCUCUAAGCAAAAUUGUAACUGAAUAAAAUUGUCUAAAACCAUUGGUGAUUAGAACUACUUCUAUUAAGUUUUCUGCAGUCUACACAUAAGUACUUAAGAAAUGGAAAAAAAAUACAUUUAAGUGUAUGUGCUCGUAUGUCUUAUAUUUUGUAAAUACAGAGUGAACUUAAUUUCAUGUUACAUCAAUUUCUCAUUAAAUAUACAAAAUAGAAAAAAAUAUAUCGCACUAAAACUUAAUUAUCUUAAACGUUUCUCUGGCCUUCUACAUUAAAAAUUAAUUUUUCAGCGGAAUCGAUUUCAAACAAAUUCAGAGUAAAAGCGGAGAAAUUCAAAUUAUUUAAUAACAUACUAUAUAUUUGCAAAAUAAAUUUUGAUUUUAAUGAGCUAUUGAAACAGACUUGAAUGAAAUACAAUAAUCUCAAAUAUUUGUCAAUUUUUUUUUCCAACAUCUUUAAGAAUGGUUUAUAUACUAAUGUCUUAAUAACCAAUUGUUAAUGCCUUGCCUUUAUACAAUAAUCAAAAAAAGAUAUUUUUAUAAAUUUAAAACCACUAAGAACAUAAUUAAAAAAUAUAUAUAUUUGUCUAGUAAUACCUUAAAGUUUUUAAAAAUUGAAUUUUAUACCUGCCCACAUAAAUAAUACUAUUAUACCUAUAACGUCGAGUUGUAUAUUCCAAUAACAAUAAUCUACAAUAAUAACAUGAUAAUAUAUUAAUAGUUAAUAUAUUAUAUUAUAAUACCACUAUAAUAUUUAAUAAUAACGAUAAAAGUAAUUAGUUGUUGUAGUACCUAUGCAGUUGAUAAACUAAUCAAAUAAUAACAUAAUAUAUCAUAUUUUUUUCGUUUCUUGUUAGUUGAGAUUUAGUUUUUCAUAAUGAUAAAUUAUUAUUUAUUUUGUAUUAUACUUUUAACACACAAGUAGGUACCCAUAGUUUAAUCAAUAUUUAUUUUAAAAAAAAUGUAAAUAUAAUAUAAGUAUGAUAAUUGGCAUGUCAUAUCGUUUUUAUUUAUUCGAUCAUCAUUAUCAUAGUAUUAAAUUUAAGUUAAAUGAUUAGUACAAUUUGUAAAUACUUAGUAACUUCUUUGUUGUAUAUUGAUUUGUUAUAUUUAAUUUGAUACGUGUAUUUGUAUAAUUUUCACUCAGUAGGUACUUGCCUGAGUGAUACUUACUUAUAAGUUUCUUUCAAUAUUAAGUUUAAUGUUCACAGAAUAUUUUAAGUUCAAAUGCGCUUUCAAUGUCUUAUUUUAAUAUUUAUAAAUUUAAUAUUGGAUAAGCUUAACACCUACAAUAAGCUAUAUUAAUCGUAGUAAAUAAUUAUUUAAUUUUUAUUUUUAGUUUAUAUAAAUUAUUUUUUAUCAAGUAUUCGUUGUAAAUGUUAAACUAAGUUAAAAAAAAAAAAUAAGGAUUUCUAAGCAUAGGUACUUAAUUUUGUAAUAUUCAUUUUAAUUAUUUAUGAUAUUUAAUUUAAUCGAUUUAAAAAUAUGUCAAUAAUCUAUUGUAUUUAAAAAAAAAAAAUUCUCAAAAAUAAUACUUAAAUAUGUUUUGAUUACAGAUUUAUUAGGUACACAAUGCUAUUUUUUAUCGAUAUUAAGUAAUAUAUCUUAUGUCUAUAAUAAUAUCUUGAACCCUAUUUUGUAUUCAAGUAGUAUUUUAAGGUAGCUAAUAAAUUAAUGCAUUGCAAUAGAUAAUAUUAAUUAUAUAUCUUAAGUAGAUAAAAUGUCUUCUAUUAAUUUGAUAAAAUACAAAUACUUAAAAAGAUGGCUAAAAAUAUGAUUCUACUUUAGUUCUUGAUUUUGUAUAGAUAUGAUGAUUAUUAAAACAUUAUAAUAAAUAUCAUACCUUUGUUAGAGAACCAAAAAUAAAAUAUAAAAAUAUAUUAUAUAGAUAUAAAUAAUUAUAUUCCUAUAAAGUUUAACGUUAAUUAAAAUAUAAGUGUUAUAUCUAUAAAUUUAAAUGUUGAAUUGAGUUCGUGUUAAACUUUAUAAAUGCGUAUAAGUGAUUUUAUAAUAUUAAUAAUAAAUAUUUAACAAGAAAAAAAAUAUAUAUAUUAAUUAAUAUAAAAAAAUUUACUAUUAUUGACAUGUUUUAAUUGCUAUAGGAAUUAACUUGCAUAAAUACGUCCGAUAAAUCUUGUAUUGCAAAAAUAACUGGUGUUGUGUCAGGUGUUUUUAUUAUUUUAUUAUUUUAUUUUAGUUAAUCCUGAUAAUUUAAAAAUUGACUAGUAAUUUUGUAUUAACUGAAGUAUUAAGUAUAGGUAUCUAAUGAUAGUUUUCUACCAAAAAUAAUUUUUGGAAUUAAUAAAUAAUAAAUGCUCUAAACUUCUAAUACAUUUAUCGCCUAGCAUAAAAUCUAAAAUGAAAAAAGAAAAUGGAAUAUAUUGAACAGGUUUACAAAAGUAACCGUGUUAUGUUAACAUUUUAUAAACAAUAAGUACAGAAUUGAAUACAUCUCUCUAAGCAAACAGUGAUUGCGUGUAUCUAUGUAGCUCUAAAUUCUGAGAGCUAGUAAUUUAAUAAGACAGGUACAACUACUCUCGCACUUACCUCAUAUAAAUGUAAUUUGUAUCAGUCUGAAUUACAUUUUUUAUUUCACUUCAGGUUUUGUAUUAUUAUUGGCAUUUAUUUUUUACAUUUGUUGUUGAGGGUACACUGUAUUGUACGUGUUAAAUUUGAAUUUAAUAUCGUUAUGCACCAAAACCUUUUCUAAUUGGUGACUGUCUAUCAGCCUUAAUAUUUUAUAUUAUUUACAUUAUAUUCUAUUUAAUAGAAUAAUAUUACAUAUAUUAUACUUUUUAUUCAUAAAACAAAAAUAAAU